rnacentral:rRNA from 1 species
CCGCACGGGUGAGUAACACGUAUCCAACCUGCCGUCUACUCUUGGACAGCCUUCUGAAAGGAAGAUUAAUACAAGAUGGCAUCAUGAGUCCGCAUGUUCACAUGAUUAAAGGUAUUCCGGUAGACGAUGGGGAUGCGUUCCAUUAGAUAGUAGGCGGGGUAACGGCCCACCUAGUCCUCGAUGGAUAGGGGUUCUGAGAGGAAGGUCCCCCACAUUGGAACUGAGCACGGUCCAA